CAGCCGCCGCGGUAAUACAGAGGGUGCAAGCGUUAAUCGGAAUUACUGGGCGUAAAGCGCGCGUAGGUGGUUUGUUAAGUUGGAUGUGAAAUCCCCGGGCUCAACCUGGGAACUGCAUCCAAAACUGGCGAGCUAGAGUAUGGUAGAGGGUGGUGGAAUUUCCUGUGUAGCGGUGAAAUGCGUAGAUAUAGGAAGGAACAUCAGUGGCGAAGGCGACCACCUGGACUGAUACUGACACUGAGGUGCGAAAGCGUGGGGAGCAAACAGGAUUAGAUACCCCCGUAGUCCCUGUCUCUUAUAC
rnacentral:rRNA from 1 species